rnacentral:rRNA from 1 species
AACGCUAGCUACAGGCUUAACACAUGCAAGUCGAGGGGUAACGAGAGGAAAGCUUGCUUUUCUUGUCGACGACCGGCGCACGGGUGAGUAACGCGUAUGCAACCUACCUAUCAGAGGGGAAUAACCCGGCGAAAGUCGGACUAAUACCGCAUAAAACAGGGGCACCGCAUGGUGAUAUUUGUUAAAGAAAUUCGCUGAUAGAUGGGCAUGCGUUCCAUUGGGUAGUUGGUGAGGUAACGGCUCACCAAGCCGACGAUGGAUAGGGGAACUGAGAGGUUGGUCCCCCACACUGGUACUGAGACACGGACCAGACUCCUACGGGAGGCAGCAGUGAGGAAUAUUGGUCAAUGGGCGAGAGCCUGAACCAGCCAAGUAGCGUGCAGGAUGACGGCCCUAUGGGUUGUAAACUGCUUUUAUACAGGAAUAAAGUUAGCCACGUGUGGUUAUUUGUAGGUACUGUAUGAAUAAGGACCGGCUAAUUCCGUGCCAGCAGCCGCGGUAAUACGGAAGGUCCAGGCGUUAUCCGGAUUUAUUGGGUUUAAAGGGAGCGUAGGCCGUCUGUUAAGCGUGUUGUGAAAUGUAGAUGCUCAACAUCUGAAUUGCAGCGCGAACUGGCAGACUUGAGUGUGCGCAACGUAGGCGGAAUUCGUGGUGUAGCGGUGAAAUGCUUAGAUAUCACGAAGAACUCCGAUUG